UACGUAGGGCGCAAGCGUUGUCCGGAAUUAUUGGGCGUAAAGGGCUCGUAGGCGGUUUGUCGCGUCGGGAGUGAAAACCCAGGGCUUAACCCUGGGCUGGCUUCCGAUACGGGCAGACUAGAGGUAUGCAGGGGAGAACGGAAUUCCUGGUGUAGCGGUGAAAUGCGCAGAUAUCAGGAGGAACACCGGUGGCGAAGGCGGUUCUCUGGGCAUUACCUGACGCUGAGGAGCGAAAGUGUGGGGAGCGAACAGG
rnacentral:rRNA from 1 species